AGAAGAACAAAAAUGACCGGGAAAAUCUGACAGGACUGAGAUGAUGACAACAGCACAGCGGGGUUUUAGAAGCCCAUCAGAGUGAUUUUCUGAGUUCUUUCACAUGCUGUAUGGUCAGCGAAUGGAUGGAUUAUCCAGUCAAGGUACAGAAUGAAAGACUUGACUGAGUUAGAAGAAGCUGGGCGACUCUUCAGAGUGAAGAUGUUAUGAUGCAGUUAUGUCAAAGCACUCGUUUCGGCUGGCCAGAUUGGAACAGACCUGAAUGGGAAGAUGGCAGAGCUAAGACUGACAAUGUCCAGGAAAAAUGUUAACUAAAAAUUAGUGUUUUUCCUCAGCGAGUGAGUUUGGGAAUGUUUUAAAUGUGCCUAAAAGUUUGAAAAUGUAAUACUGAGGGAAAAAAGUGAACGCUUUGA